GGGGAAUAUUGCACAAUGGGCGCAAGCCUGAUGCAGCGACGCCGCGUGAGCGAAGAAGGUUUUCGGAUCGUAAAGCUCUGUCCUUUGGGAAGAAAAAAUGACGGUACCAAAGGAGGAAGCCCCGGCUAACUACGUGCCAGCAGCCGCGGUAAUACGUAGGGGGCGAGCGUUGUCCGGAUUUACUGGGCGUAAAGGGUGAGUAGGCGGUAACGUGUGUCAGAUGUUUAAUCUAUGGGCUCAACCCAUAUCAGCAUUUGAAACUGCGUAACUUGAGUGCAGGAGAGGUAAGUGGAAUUCCUAGUGUAGCGGUGAAAUGCGUAGAUAUUAGGAGGAACACCAGUGGCGAAGGCGACUUACUGGACUGUAACUGACGCUGAGUCACGAAAGCGUGGGGAGCGAAC
rnacentral:rRNA from 1 species